GUGGGGAAUCUUGCGCAAUGGGCGAAAGCCUGACGCAGCCAUGCCGCGUGAAUGAUGAAGGUCUUAGGAUUGUAAAAUUCUUUCACCGGGGACGAUAAUGACGGUACCCGGAGAAGAAGCCCCGGCUAACUUCGUGCCAGCAGCCGCGGUAAUACGAAGGGGGCUAGCGUUGCUCGGAAUUACUGGGCGUAAAGGGCGCGUAGGCGGACAGCUUAGUCAGAGGUGAAAGCCCAGGGCUCAACCUUGGAAUUGCCUUUGAUACUGGCUGUCUUGAGUUUGGGAGAGGUGAGUGGAACUCCGAGUGUAGAGGUGAAAUUCGUAGAUAUUCGGAAGAACACCAGUGGCGAAGGCGACUCACUGGCCCAAUACUGACGCUGAGGCGCGAAAGCGUGGGGAGCAAACAGGAUUAGAACCCCUGUAGUCC
rnacentral:rRNA from 1 species